rnacentral:rRNA from 1 species
CCAGCAACUUGGAGGAAUGUAUAGCGAAAGCUAGUUGUAUCUGACUUAAUUAAACCUAAGUUGGUGCAAAAUUGACUAUGUCGAAUAAAGUUCUGGGUAGGUUAUGACGAUGACAUUUUCUAUCCAUGUGUCUUGACCAAAUUACGUGCCAGCAGUCGCGGUAAUACGUAGAAGACUAGUGUUAUUCAUCUUUAAUAGGUUUAAAGGGUACCUAGACGGUAAAUCAAGUCCAAGAAGGGUACUAAUUUGCUAGAGUUAAAUGUGAGGGACCAUAAAAGUACUGAUAAGUGUAGAGAUGAAAUUCUGUGAUACAAUAUAUGGCACUGGUUAAGGCGAAAGCAUCUUUUUAUGUGAUAACUGACGUUGAGGGACGAAGGCUAGGUGUAGCAAAAAGGAUUAGAUACCCAAGUAGUUUUAGCAGAAAAUUAUGAAUGCCAUAGGAUCGUGUGUUUAGCCUAAGGAGAAUAAAAUAAGACUAUUCCAAGUUUAAACUGGAAUAACCUUUUAUAUAAAGUACUUAUCAGCUAAAUAAAAAAAAAACGGUUAUAUAAAUGAAAGUGUAAGCAUUUCACCUCAAGAGUAAUUUGGCAACAUUGGAACUGAAAUCAUUAGACCGUUUCUGAAACAAGUAGUGAAGUAUGUUGUUUAAUUUGAUGGUCCGCAAAAAACCUUACCACAAUUUGAAUAGAAAAAUCUUUUAUACAAGCGCUGCACGGUUGUCUUCAGUUAAUGUCGUGAGAUUUUGGUUAGUUCCAUUAAAUUAACGUAAACCCUUACUUUAUUUACACAUAGAGUUGUUCGCCGCUAGAUUGGUUGUGAUAACAGGGACUAAGACAAGUCAUCAUGGCCUUAAUAUUGUGGGCUAUAGACGUGCCACAUAUGCUUUACAAAGGGAUG